rnacentral:siRNA from 1 species
UGUUCAACUUUCAGGAAGUACUUC